UACGGAGGGUGCAAGCGUUAUCCGGAUUCCCUGGGUUUAAAGGGUGCGUAGGAGGGCAGGUAAGUCAGUGGUGAAAUCCCCGAGCUUAACUUGGGAACCGCCGUUGAUACUAUCUGUCUUGAAUAUUGUGGAGGUAAGCGGAAUAUGUCAUGUAGCGGUGAAAUGCUUAGAUAUGACAUAGAACACCAAUUGCGAAGGCAGCUUGCUACACAACUAUUGACUCUGAUGCACGAAAGCGUGGGGAUCAAACAGG
rnacentral:rRNA from 1 species